rnacentral:rRNA from 1 species
AUUGAACGCUGGCGGCAUGCCAUACACAUGCAAGUCGAACGGUAACGCGGGGCAACCUGGCGACGAGUGGCGAACGGGUGAGUAAAGCAUCGGAACGUGCCCAGUAGUGGGGGAUAGCCCGGCGAAAGCCGGAUUAAUACCGCAUACGACCUACGGGUGAAAGGGGGGGAUCGCAAGACCUCUCGCUAUUGGAGCGGCCGAUGCCAGAUUAGGUAGUUGGUGGGGUAAAGGCCUACCAAGCCUGCGAUCUGUAGCUGGUCUGAGAGGACGACCAGCCACACUGGGACUGAGACACGGCCCAGACUCCUACGGGAGGCAGCAGUGGGGAAUUUUGGACAAUGGGCGCAAGCCUGAUCCAGCCAUGCCGCGUGCGGGAAGAGGGCCUUCGGGUUGUAAACCGCUUUUGUCAGGGAAGAAAAGCCUUGGGUUAAUACCCUAGGGUGAUGACGGUACCUGAAGAAUAAGCACCGGCUAACUACGUGCCAGCAGCCGCGGUAA